UACGUAGGGGGCAAGCGUUGUCCGGAUUUAUUGGGCGUAAAGAGCUCGUAGGCGGCCUGUUGCGUCCGCUGUGAAAGCCCGGGGCUUAACCCCGGGUCUGCAGUGGAUACGGGCAGGCUAGAGGUAGGUAGGGGAGAAUGGAAUUCCCGGUGUAGCGGUGAAAUGCGCAGAUAUCGGGAGGAACACCGGUGGCGAAGGCGGUUCUCUGGGCCUUACCUGACGCUGAGGAGCGAAAGCGUGGGGAGCGAACAGG
rnacentral:rRNA from 1 species